ACUAAGCGUACACGGUGGAUGCCCUGGCAGUCAGAGGCGAUGAAGGACGUGCUAAUCUGCGAUAAGCGUCGGUAAGGUGAUAUGAACCGUUAUAACCGGCGAUUUCCGAAUGGGGAAACCCAGUGUGAUUCGUCACACUAUCAUUAACUGAAUCCAUAGGUUAAUGAGGCGAACCGGGGGAACUGAAACAUCUAAGUACCCCGAGGAAAAGAAAUCAACCGAGAUUCCCCCAGUAGCGGCGAGCGAACGGGGAGCAGCCCAGAGCCUGAAUCAGUGUGUGUGUUAGUGGAAGCGUCUGGAAAGGCGUGCGAUACAGGGUGACAGCCCCGUACACAAAAAUGCACAUACUGUGAGCUCGAUGAGUAGGGCGGGACACGUGGUAUCCUGUCUGAAUAUGGGGGGACCAUCCUCCAAGGCUAAAUACUCCUGACUGACCGAUAGUGAACCAGUACCGUGAGGGAAAGGCGAAAAGAACCCCGGCGAGGGGAGUGAAAAAGAACCUGAAACCGUGUACGUACAAGCAGUGGGAGCACGCUUAGGCGUGUGACUGCGUACCUUUUGUAUAAUGGGUCAGCGACUUAUAUUCUGUAGCAAGGUUAACCGAAUAGGGGAGCCGAAGGGAAACCGAGUCUUAACUGGGCGUUAAGUUGCAGGGUAUAGACCCGAAACCCGGUGAUCUAGCCAUGGGCAGGUUGAAGGUUGGGUAACACUAACUGGAGGACCGAACCGACUAAUGUUGAAAAAUUAGCGGAUGACUUGUGGCUGGGGGUGAAAGGCCAAUCAAACCGGGAGAUAGCUGGUUCUCCCCGAAAGCUAUUUAGGUAGCGCCUCGUGAAUUCAUCUCCGGGGGUAGAGCACUGUUUCGGCAAGGGGGUCAUCCCGACUUACCAACCCGAUGCAAACUGCGAAUACCGGAGAAUGUUAUUACGGGAGACACACGGCGGGUGCUAACGUCCGUCGUGAAGAGGGAAACAACCCAGACCGCCAGCUAAGGUCCCAAAGUCAUGGUUAAGUGGGAAACGAUGUGGGAAGGCCCAGACAGCCAGGAUGUUGGCUUAGAAGCAGCCAUCAUUUAAAGAAAGCGUAAUAGCUCACUGGUCGAGUCGGCCUGCGCGGAAGAUGUAACGGGGCUAAACCAUGCACCGAAGCUGCGGCAGCGACGCUUAUGCGUUGUUGGGUAGGGGAGCGUUCUGUAAGCCUGUGAAGGUGUGCUGUGAGGUAUGCUGGAGGUAUCAGAAGUGCGAAUGCUGACAUAAGUAACGAUAAAGCGGGUGAAAAGCCCGCUCGCCGGAAGACCAAGGGUUCCUGUCCAACGUUAAUCGGGGCAGGGUGAGUCGACCCCUAAGGCGAGGCCGAAAGGCGUAGUCGAUGGGAAACAGGUUAAUAUUCCUGUACUUGGUGUUACUGCGAAGGGGGGACGGAGAAGGCUAUGUUGGCCGGGCGACGGUUGUCCCGGUUUAAGCGUGUAGGCUGGUUUUCCAGGCAAAUCCGGAAAAUCAAGGCCGAGGCGUGAUGACGAGGCACUACGGUGCUGAAGCAACAAAUGCCCUGCUUCCAGGAAAAGCCUCUAAGCAUCAGGUAACAUCAAAUCGUACCCCAAACCGACACAGGUGGUCAGGUAGAGAAUACCAAGGCGCUUGAGAGAACUCGGGUGAAGGAACUAGGCAAAAUGGUGCCGUAACUUCGGGAGAAGGCACGCUGAUACGUAGGUGAAGCGACUUGCUCGUGGAGCUGAAAUCAGUCGAAGAUACCAGCUGGCUGCAACUGUUUAUUAAAAACACAGCACUGUGCAAACACGAAAGUGGACGUAUACGGUGUGACGCCUGCCCGGUGCCGGAAGGUUAAUUGAUGGGGUUAGCGCAAGCGAAGCUCUUGAUCGAAGCCCCGGUAAACGGCGGCCGUAACUAUAACGGUCCUAAGGUAGCGAAAUUCCUUGUCGGGUAAGUUCCGACCUGCACGAAUGGCGUAAUGAUGGCCAGGCUGUCUCCACCCGAGACUCAGUGAAAUUGAACUCGCUGUGAAGAUGCAGUGUACCCGCGGCAAGACGGAAAGACCCCGUGAACCUUUACUAUAGCUUGACACUGAACAUUGAGCCUUGAUGUGUAGGAUAGGUGGGAGGCUUUGAAGUGUGGACGCCAGUCUGCAUGGAGCCGACCUUGAAAUACCACCCUUUAAUGUUUGAUGUUCUAACGUGGACCCGUGAUCCGGGUUGCGGACAGUGUCUGGUGGGUAGUUUGACUGGGGCGGUCUCCUCCUAAAGAGUAACGGAGGAGCACGAAGGUUGGCUAAUCCUGGUCGGACAUCAGGAGGUUAGUGCAAUGGCAUAAGCCAGCUUGACUGCGAGCGUGACGGCGCGAGCAGGUGCGAAAGCAGGUCAUAGUGAUCCGGUGGUUCUGAAUGGAAGGGCCAUCGCUCAACGGAUAAAAGGUACUCCGGGGAUAACAGGCUGAUACCGCCCAAGAGUUCAUAUCGACGGCGGUGUUUGGCACCUCGAUGUCGGCUCAUCACAUCCUGGGGCUGAAGUAGGUCCCAAGGGUAUGGCUGUUCGCCAUUUAAAGUGGUACGCGAGCUGGGUUUAGAACGUCGUGAGACAGUUCGGUCCCUAUCUGCCGUGGGCGCUGGAGAACUGAGGGGGGCUGCUCCUAGUACGAGAGGACCGGAGUGGACGCAUCACUGGUGUUCGGGUUGUCAUGCCAAUGGCACUGCCCGGUAGCUAAAUGCGGAAGAGAUAAGUGCUGAAAGCAUCUAAGCACGAAACUUGCCCCGAGAUGAGUUCUCCCUGACCCUUUAAGGGUCCUGAAGGAACGUUGAAGACGACGACGUUGAUAGGCCGGGUGUGUAAGCGCAGCGAUGCGUUGAGCUAACCGGUACUAAUGAACCGUGAGGCUUAACC
rnacentral:rRNA from 3 species